CCGUUCGACGUAGAUGCGCAUUUAUGGCAAUCGUCAUUAAAUACAGACUGUGUAUUUAUCUUGAUAUUAUGGGAACGGUCACACAGGUGAAGGUUUUAAUUAAUCAAUUAUAUUAUUAGUAUAGAAUAUAGAUGCUUACGUUUUCACAGUCGAAAGAAACGGUUGAGAGUCACUUUACACCACAUUCAGAUCGGACCUAAAGAAUUGCAACAAUUGGACAUUUAUGGGAAAAUUAAACACAAUAAAGAGAUAAGCAUACUUUCUCCGAUUCUUUCGAUCUGUGUUAAUGCUAUUCGCCACAUUUCAGAGGAAAUGUCUUAGGGAAGGAUUUUGGAAAUACAUUUUCAGAGAAUGGCAUAUAUACUCUUGAAUGGACUAGAUGUUGUGAUGGCGUUUUGGAUCGCGAUGUUGAGACGGCGCAAGUUAGCUGCAGUUGAGAAUGUCUGUCGGAUCAACUUUAUUAUUCUUACACGAUCGGUUAAGCCCUUAUAUUAACAGCUUGGAUGUUCGGAAACUGUUUUAUUGACGCCAAAUGUGACGUUAAAUUUACCGAUUGAGACGACUGACGAGACUGUGUUAUUUACUUUGGCCAAUCGAGUUGGAGUAAAUAGCAUGGCGCUUGUCUUCCCGGACUUGACGAUUAAAAACAAGUGCUUGCUCCCGUUAAUUAAGAAAACAUAAAAUGCGAAGAUACUCACCAAAGGAAUUUUGCCUUAUUUACAAUUUAAUAUUUCUGACUUCAAGGAAAACUCGCUUAGCAAUCAUUACGACAAAUUUAUUGUCGAGAAGUAGCUGAUUCCCGAAACUGGGGAUAGUGAAACAUUCAACAUAAUUGGACAGAGUAUCAUAAUUUUCGCCAGAUAUACAUUUAUACACGAUUAUUUACUGAUAUAUAUGUGUCGUAUUUUUGAGAUGUUUGUUCAUGAUUCAUGGCAGUCGCAAUGGUCAAACGGUCAUGGGCAAAUCGUGUUUUUUAUACAUAAUAAUACAAAAAUAUGCGGUAGGACGGGUACAGAGAGGGAUUCAUACAAUGACUCGACGCUGCCAAUAAUGUUUGUUGAUCGAAGCGCGGACGGCUGCGUCGGACCGUUGUAUGCCCUCAGUUCGGAUCGUAUGAACAAAGCGAAACUCAUAGACCUCUAUAAAAGCAAUAACUGUUGUGUGUAUUUUGUUCGGAUUACUUUGGUCAUUCGCAAUAUAUUAGCAUAACAGCAACCUAGAAACUACCUCAUGGUGCUCACGGUUAGGUUUCAGGAUCUCCUCGGCCACCCGGCCAAUACACCUUUUCACGGCUAUUUGGAGGCGAUCUCAGAAACUGGACGCGCUUUAUAAAUAUAGAUAAUUAUUUUAAUAUAGAUUAACACUCCACUCGUGACAUCUGGAGUGAUACACAACGAGAGUAUUUUUAAAAAUCCGCGAAGUAUUCUGUAAACAAGCAAUAUUAUACAAUUUUAUGAAGUUUUUCGUAGUUUUAGAUCUAAGCACGACGCAGGCGCGGCGCUUUUCCUUUGACGGCAUUACAGUUGUUUUCAACUUAUUCUUACCUCACCGCUCAAUAAAUUAACGACAGUCUUUUUAUCUGAUCUAACUUCAUUUUUAAGCAGUGGCGGCGUCGUGUUUACGCAGUAAUUUAGCAACGUCAAAAAGUAUGUGCCUUAAAGAGGAAAUAUUAUUUUAGAGCGCUUUGUAUGUGUACAGACAGUUUAGUAGCGUUUAGCAAAGAUAGAUGACGACGUUAUUUUUAAGAGAGAAGCGAUAGAUUAGAUUUAUUAUUUAACGAUGUAUGAGUAGAUAGCAUCCGUAUUGAUGUUUGUACACAGACAAUGCACACCGUUACAAGUAAGCGAUAUGGCGAAUAUUGUGAUAUGCUAUGCGAGUUCCAUGCACUAGUCGAUAGCCGACCGACACCGGCCGUGACACAUACCCCGGACUUGACUUUAUGGUAUUUUUCAUUUCCACCGGCAUAAUCGCUUUUUACUCAAUGUGUGGAUAAAGUCUAUGUUUAACAUCUCGCAGAUGAUCCGUUGACAGUUUCGUAGUUCUCCGGAGUACUUAGAGUUCAUUACGUUGCGUGGUUUAGGGUACGUGCCUUAGUUUAUUCUAGUGUAGUCUAUGAAAAUGUCAUCAGUCGGUCACGAUUCACCAUCCAGAGGGCCCGAAGACUUACCCAACUGUCAGUUAUAAUGAGUGCCUCAAGGUUUAACUGCGGCGAUCCAUUGAGUAACAGAGCACAUGUUGGUCAAUUUUAAUUUUAAUAUUAACAUUGGUUCUCGUUGGGUUAUCUUACGAUUAGCGACCAUUUGUUCAAGUGUUAGUUACAUUUUCUAUGAUAAUUUAAUGAUGAGUUCGUGUACGUGUGAUCAUCAGUUAAUUACUUUAUGAUGCGGUUUGAAGUUAUAUAAGGGUCUGACUUAAUACUAUCAGUUCGCAGGCGUCAUCUAACUGGAAGAACAGACGAUUAUAAAUAACUUCAGAUCAUUUUUUAUUAGUAUAUAUACUUUAGUAAAAUAUUAAUGCUGUACGAAAUCGUCAAUAACAGUUUCAAUACAUAUUAAGAAUGAAUCGAAAGGGCUGAUGAAGUGGAAUGAUUUUAUUUCAACGGCAAGAUGUCUAGUUUCAUGUAGCUGUUGCGGAGGAUGGAUGUUUAUAAGUAGCAGUUUUGAGCAAAGAUUUGACGAGAAAGACGUAUUGGUAUUUACUAUUGAGCAGUCCGAGCAAUUGAAACUUGACAUAAAGUUCCUAAGUUGUAUUUGAAGUUCGAUCCGAUAGAAUAUUUUCAACAUUGAUGAUUGAUCCUUUUUAAAACUCACCCGCACUAAGUUUAAUCGCU